CGAGAUCGCGCCACUGCACUCCAGCCUGGGUGACAGAGUGAGACUCCGUCUCAAAAAAAAAAAAAAUUUUUUUUUUCUUUUUCUUAUUUUGAAUAAAAUAGAGACCGGGUUUUGCUAUGCUGACCAGGCUGGUCUGGACCUCCUGGCCUCAAGCAAUCCUCCAACCUCCGCCACCCAAAGUGCUGGGAUUAGGGAUGUGAACCACCAUACCUGGCCAACAUGGAGGAAUUUUUAAUAAACCUGGCUCAACCCUCUAGGACCCCCAGGGCUUUUGUCUAAUGACCCCCAAGCUCCUUCCCCUGACCUUGAACACAGCCUGGGACCUGUCAGUGCUCACUGACUGAUAGGACAGCCUCAUGUGCAAAAUGGUUCCUGCCCUCAAGAUGGUUGGAAGGAUAAGAGGACGCACCCUGGGUCAGCAGAAUGUCUGGCGUUGCCUGCUCACCUUCCGAAAUGUGGCUCAUGCCCACAGUCCCUCCUGACCCGUGAGCUGAGAAGCUGGACUGUGAUGAUGGUGCUCUCAUGGUCCCAUGCUGACAGCCCUCAUUAAAGCCGGUGGCCUGCCAACUGAAGAGAACUCCCUGGGGUGAAUGACAUGCAUUGUGGGAAGUGAAAUGGGCCUUUGCCCUACAUCAAAGCUGUAUCAGCCGCUCCCUGAGUCUGUCUUGACCAGACAGAUCCCACUGGAUGCUGCUCCAACUGUGUUGGACUUGGCUUGAGUGACUCUGGAGAGAGGGCUGGGAGGAAGCUGCCUGACACAGGUGCCCGGGGCAGGGCGGCAGCCUCUCACCUGGGCCUGACUGGGAGGUGGAAAUGAGGCUCUGGGGCCUAAUCAGAAGGAGUUUUCUUAGCUCCCCUCACCAACCCAGGGUGACCUCAGGGAAAGAAGAGGCCUGGUGUGGCCAUGCCCUCCCUACUUCCCCAAGGAAGGGAGAUGGCCGCUAGGGCCUGGAAGAGAGAGGGAUGGGGAAGGGGAACCUAGCCAGCUGCCCUAAAGUCCUGGGACCAGGGGAAAAGGUGGAUUAGGGUUCAGGGGCCCUAGGGCCACACUUGGACUUCUUUCUUUCCCUACAAAAGCAGGAGUAGGGGGGUGCAGUGGCUCAUGCCUAUAAUCCCAGCACUUUAGGAGGCCAAAGCAGGAGGCUUGCUUAAGGCCAGAAGUUUGAGACUAGCCUGGGCAACAUAGUGAGACUGCGUCUCCUCAAAAAGAAGAAAAAAAAAAUUAGCCAAUAGAGUAGAAAGCACCUAUAGUCCCAACUACUUGGAGGUCUGAGGUGAGAGGCUCACUUGAGCCCAGGAGUUCGAGGCUGCAGCGAGCUAUGAUUGUGCCGCUGAACUCCAGCCUGGGCAACAGAACAAGACCCUGUCUCAAAAAAAAAAAGGCCAGAUGCAGUGGCUCACUUCCGUAAUCCCAGCACGUUGGAAUGCUGAGGUAGGUGGAUCACCUGAG
rnacentral:lncRNA from 1 species